UACGGGGGGGGGCAAGCGUUGUUCGGAAUUACUGGGCGUAAAGGGCUCGUAGGUGGCCAACUAAGUCAGACGUGAAAUCCCUCGGCUUAACCGGGGGAACUGCGUCUGAUACUGGAUGGCUUGAGUUUGGGAGAGGGAUGCGGAAUUCCAGGUGUAGCGGUGAAAUGCGUAGAUAUCUGGAGGAACACCGGUGGCGAAGGCGGCAUCCUGGGCCAACACUGACACUGAGGAGCGAAAGCCAGGGGAGCAAACGGGG
rnacentral:rRNA from 1 species